UGGUGGAGUGAUUUGUCUGGUUUAUUCCGUUAACGAACGAGACGUGUGUGUUUAUUUGUUGUGUGCGUGAUAUUUGUCAUGCACAGGACAAUAGACAGACUAUUAGUGACUAACUAAUUGAAGUGACACGCAAUAACA
rnacentral:rRNA from 1 species